GAGUUUGAUCCUGGCUCAGGAUGAACGCUAGCGGCAGGCCUAACACAUGCAAGUCGAGGGGUAACAGAAAAGCUUGCUUUUGCUGACGACCGGCGCACGGGUGCGUAACGCGUAUGCAACCUACCUCAUACUGGAGGAUAGCCCCUGGAAACGGGGAUUAAUACUCCAUAGUAUCACAAUUUCGCAUGUUAUUGUGGUUAAAGUUUUUCGGUAUGAGAUGGGCAUGCGUCCCAUUAGCUUGUUGGUGAGGUAACGGCUCACCAAGGCAACGAUGGGUAGGGGGCCUGAGAGGGUGGUCCCCCACACUGGUACUGAGACACGGACCAGACUCCUACGGGAGGCAGCAGUGAGGAAUAUUGGUCAAUGGAGGAAACUCUGAACCAGCCAUGCCGCGUGAAGGAUGACGGCCCUAUGGGUUGUAAACUUCUUUUAUAGAGGAAGAAACUUGCCUACGUGUAGACAACUGACGGUACUCUACGAAUAAGGAUCGGCUAACUCCGUGCCAGCAGCCGCGGUAAUACGGAGGAUCCAAGCGUUAUCCGGAUUCAUUGGGUUUAAAGGGUCCGUAGCGGAUUUUUAAGUCAGUGGUGAAAGCCGACAGCUCAACUGUCGAACUGCCAUUGAUACUGGAAAUCUUGGGUACAAAUGAAGUAGGCGGAAUGAGUCAUGUAGCGGUGAAAUGCAUAGAUAUGACUCAGAACACCGAUUGCGAAGGCAGCUUACUAACAUGUAACUGACGCUGAGGGACGAAAGCGUGGGGAGCGAACAGGAUUAGAUACCCUGGUAGUCCACGCCGUAAACGAUCAUCACUCGCUGUUGGCGAUAUACUGUCAGCGGCCAAGCGAAAGUAUUAAGUGAUGCACCUGGGGAGUACGCCGGCAACGGUGAAACUCAAAGGAAUUGACGGGGGCCCGCACAAGCGGUGGAGCACGUGGUUUAAUUCGAUGAUACGCGAGGACCUUACCAGGGCUUAAAUGUAGUUUGACCGGCCUU
rnacentral:rRNA from 1 species